UUUUUUGCAGUAGUUAGUUAUUUACUGUAGCUUGCUAACGGUCCGGUAGGGUGAAGCUAACGUUACAAAAUCACAUCGACAGGUAGCAGUUCGAUAAUUACAUUUAUUUGCUUUAGAAUGACGUUUUAUGAACGCUAACUAGAUCGAUUUUGGUUUAGAUUAAUAAAAUGUAGUUUUAGUUAGCUUGACUUAAAAGUAUCCAAUGAAAUGUUACCCCACCAGUCUGUGCAUGCCUGUUGUUUGCCCAACCACACCGUGACUAAACUUUACAGUUGUUGUCGACACAAUAAUACAAAUAAAUAGUUAUUCAUAAACUGAUGUUCUAUGAACAACUGACUGGUCCAGUGAGUAAUUUUAGCUACCUGUUAAUUCCCAAAAACCUAGUCGGUAUCAACGUGUGGUUAAUUUAGGUUUCCCCAUUAACUCACAGCAAAAAACUAUACCAUUUUCAAACGCAAAACGUUAUUGUUGUCUGCUUGUUUUAGCCAAUUAUAAAACUACAACAUGUCUACAGAUUACUUGUCAACAUUGCCUGCUCCCUAGUGUUCUCACUACUUAGGAAAAUAUAAUAGUGUAGGGCUUCCCUCACGGGUACUAGCAAGCUACCGACGGGAACAUUUAAAACUAGCCAAGAGGAACAACAGAAAGAAACGGACUAUACAGCUACAAGUAAGAAUACAUCUAAAUGAGAAGAUCCUGCCAUGGAAAAGACGACUGGAUGGACAGGAAGUGGAAAGGAGGGGAAAUAACUCCCACCAUGCAGCAGGACACCUUCAGCUCUUCAGAUGGCCAAGGAAGUAGCACAGAACAUCCCCAACAUCCCCUUCCCAAAUUGAUAUAGAACCUUCACAAAAACACAUGGAGCAACAGUGAAAAGAAAUGGCUGAGGAUACACUAAAAAUGUCUGAGUUCAACAAAGCCAACAACUGCUUCAUGUGUGCCACUGAUAAAGAACCUGGAUGUGGCCCAAAGACUGACUGGACUGAAUGUUUUGCCAACGGUGGUUCCAUGUGCUGUGCCUAGGAAUGAAGACAAGAGUUCAGAGUGAAGAACACAAACUGGAAGUGCAGUCUGUUGUUUAAAAUGUAUGCUAUACCCCAUCCACACUGAAGAGGCUCUGACAUGUACAUCAACCAGGGAUAAAGAGGAGGUUAACACUGAAAUGUUUUGUGCUAAUUUGAAGUUAAGUGUCUGUUGACAUGUUGGAAAAGAUUAAAAGGUCUACAGUUUC